UACAGAGGGUGCGAGCGUUAAUCGGAAUUACUGGGCGUAAAGCGCGCGUAGGCGGCUUUGCAAGCCGGAUGUGAAAUCCCCGGGCUUAACCUGGGAACUGCAUUCGAGACUGCAUUGCUAGAGUAUGGGAGAGGGAAGUGGAAUUUCAGGUGUAGCGGUGAAAUGCGUAGAUAUCUGAAGGAACAUCAGUGGCGAAAGCGGCGUGCUGGACCUUUACUGACGCUGAUGCGCGAAAGCCAGGGGAGCGAACGGG
rnacentral:rRNA from 1 species